AUGUCUGGUCGUCAGUAUACCUGGGCCAAUAACCGAUCAGUGCCAACAUUUGAAAAACUUGACCGAGUGCUAGUUACCACUGACUGGGAAUAUAAAUAUCCCCUAGCAUCGGUUCGGGCUCUAGAACGUAUUGAGGCAUUAUCGGAUCACGCUCCUUUGCUAACCGAUUUUGGACAACCAAUCCCAAGUUCUAACCAUCACCAGUUUAAAUUUGAACUGGGAUGGCUCACUAGAGAGGGAUUUCAUGACCUUGUUAAGAAAGUGUGGGCGCGUCAUCCUCGUGGUAACACACCCAUUCAACGAUGGAACAAUCGAAUUCGCGCCUUGCGCCGAUUCCUUCGUUGA
rnacentral:rRNA from 1 species